ensembl:misc_RNA
UUGGCAGCCAGGGAGACUACAGUCCUCUGUUUCUCCACAGAACAGGUACAGCAGAGGCUCCAGCAGUACAAGCAGCACUUACACUGCCACACAAAUGUGCCUCAGCCCCAACCCAGAAGGUGAGAAGGUACAUCAGUCAGUCUCCAUGGCCCAUGCAGUCUUCAACUUCU